rnacentral:rRNA from 1 species
GUGGAGGUUACGGUAAGGUCGUGGUGCCAAUAUUACAUUGACGCAAAGAUAGUGGGCAAUGGAAACACCUUUAGAUUCACUGGAAUCUAUGGGGAACCAUGUGUUGAUAAGAGAAAGAAAACAUGGGAUGUGAUCCGCUAUCUUAGAGCACAAGAUAACCUUGCAUGGUUGUGUGCAUGUGAUUUUAACGAAGUGUUAGCACAGGAUGAGCAGCAAGGGGUAAAUCCAAGGAACUUGAGACAAAUGGCAGACUUUGAGGAAUGCUUGUCCGACUGUGGUCUAGCUGACCUGGGCUUUUCUACACACCCUUUUACCUGGGAUAACAAGAGAGAUGCGGAGGAAAAUAUUCAAGUAAGGCUGGACAGAGCUACUUGUAAUGCUACUUUCAUGCAGAUGUUCGCUGCAGCGGAGGUGGAUCACAUUAUGACAGAAGAGUCGGAUCAUUAG